rnacentral:rRNA from 1 species
UGGGGAAUCUUGCACAAUGGGGGCAACCCUGAUGCAGCGACGCCGCGUGAGCGAUGAAGCCUUUCGGGGCGUAAAGCUCUUUCGACCGGAACGAUAAUGACGGUACCGGGAGAAGAAGCUGCGGCUAACUACGUGCCAGCAGCCGCGGUAAUACGUAGGCAGCAAGCGUUGUUCGGAGUUACUGGGCGUAAAGAGUGCGUAGGCGGUUUUCUAAGUUCGGUGUGAAAUCUCCCGGCUUAACUGGGAGGGUGCGCCGAAGACUGGGAAGCUGGAGUGUGGGAAAGGCAGGCGGAAUUCCUGGUGUAGCGGUGAAAUGCGUAGAUAUCAGGAGGAACACCGGCGGUGUAGACGGCUUGCUAGACCAUAACUGACGCUGAGGCACGAAAGCGUGGGUAGCAAACA